UACGUAGGGGGCUAGCGUUGUCCGGAUUUAUUGGGCGUAAAGAGCGUGUAGGCGGCCAGGUAGGUCUGCUGUGAAAACUCGAGGCUCAACCUCGAGAUGUCGGCGGAAACCAUCUGGCUAGAGUCCGGAAGAGGAAAGUGGAAUUCCUGGUGCAGCGGUGAAAUGCGCAGAUAUCAGGAAGAACACCCGUGGCGAAGGCGGCUUUCUGGGACGGUACUGACGCUGAGACGCGAAAGCGUGGGGAGCGAACAGG
rnacentral:rRNA from 1 species